rnacentral:rRNA from 1 species
AAUAGAUACCCCGGUAGUCCACGCCGUAAACGAUGAGUGCUAAGUGUUGGGGGGGUUUCCGCCCCUCAGUGCUGCAGCUAACGCAUUAAGCACUCCGCCUGGGGAGUACGGCCGCAAGACUGAAACUCAAAGGAAUUGACGGGGGGCCCGCACAAGCGGUGGAGCAUGUGGUUUAAUUCGAAGCAACGCGAAGAACCUUACCAGGUCUUGACAUCCCGGUGACCACUAUGGAGACAUAGUUUCCCCCUUCGGGGGCAACGGUGACAGGUGGUGCAUGGUUGUCGUCAGCUCGUGUCGUGAGAUGUUGGGUUAAGUCCCGCAACGAGCGCAACCCUUAUUCUUAGUUGCCAUCAUUCAGUUGGGCACUCUAAGGAGACUGCCGGUGAUAAACCGGAGGAAGGUGGGGAUGACGUCAAAUCAUCAUGCCCCUUAUGACCUGGGCUACACACGUGCUACAAUGGACGGUACAAACGGUUGCCAACCCGCGAGGGGAGCUAAUCCGAUAAAACCGUUCUCAGUUCGGAUUGUAGGCUGCAACUCGCCUACA